UGCUUCCAUCUGGAAGAAUCUGGAGACAGGUGCUGCAUGGCUGUCGUCAGCUCGUGUCGUGAGAUGUUGGGUUAAGUCCCGCAACGAGCGCAACCCUUGCCUUUAGUUGCCAGCAGUUCGGCUGGGCACUCUAAAGGGACUGUCGGUGUUAAACCGGAGGAAGGUGGGGAUGACGUCAAGUCCUCAUGGCCUUUAUGACCAGGGCUACACACGUACUACAAUGGCCGAUACAAAGGGCAGCGACACUGCGAGGUGAAGCCAAUCCCGUAAAAUCGGUCUCAGUCCGGAUUGGAGUCUGCAACUCGACUCCAUGAAGUUGGAAUCGCUAGUAAUCGUGGAUCAGCAUGCCACGGUGAAUACGUUCCCGGGCCUU
rnacentral:rRNA from 1 species